rnacentral:rRNA from 1 species
GACAGAGGAUGCAAGCGUUGUCCGGAAUUAUUGGGCGUAAAGAGCUCGUAGGCGGUUUGUCGCGUCUGCUGUGAAAACCCGAGGCUCAACCUCGGGCCUGCAGUGGGUACGGGCAGACUAGAGUGCGGUAGGGGGAGAUUGGAAUUCCUGGUGUAGCGGUGAAAUGCGCAGAUAUCGGGAGGAACACCGGUGGCGAAGGCGGUUCUCUGGGCCUUACCUGACGCUGAGGAGCGAAAGCGUGGGGAGCGAACAGG